rnacentral:rRNA from 1 species
AACGAACGCUGGCGGCAUGCCUAACACAUGCAAGUCGAACGAGACCUUCGGGUCUAGUGGCGCACGGGUGCGUAACGCGUUGGAACCUGCCCUUAGGUUCGGAAUAACUCCCCGAAAGGGGUGCUAAUACCGGAUAAUGUCUUCGGACCAAAGAUUUAUCGCCUUUGGAUGGGCCCGCGUUGGAUUAGCUAGUUGGUAGGGUAAAAGCCUACCAAGGCGACGAUCCAUAGCUGGUCUGAGAGGAUGAUCAGCCACACGGGGACUGAGACACGGCCCAGACUCCUACGGGAGGCAGCAGUGGGGAAUAUUGGACAAUGGGCGAAAGCCUGAUCCAGCAAUGCCGCGGGAGUGAUGAAGGCCUUAGGGUUGUAAAGCUCGUUUACCCGGGAUGAUAAUGACAGUACCGGGAGAAUAAGCUCCGGCUAACUCCGUG